CAGUAGCCGCGGUAAUACAGAGGGUGCGAGCGUUAAUCGGAUUUACUGGGCGUAAAGCGUGCGUAGGCGGCUUCUUAAGUCGGAUGUGAAAUCCCUGAGCUUAACUUAGGAAUUGCAUUCGAUACUUGGAAGCUAGAGUAUGGGAGAGGAUGGUAGAAUUCCAGGUGUAGCGGUGAAAUGCGUAGAGAUCUGGAGGAAUACCGAUGGCGAAGGCAGCCAUCUGGCCUAAUACUGACGCUGAGGUACGAAAGCAUGGGGAGCAAACAGGAUUAGAUACCCCAGUAGUCCCUGUCUCUUAUAC
rnacentral:rRNA from 1 species